UACGUAGGUGGCAAGCGUUGUUCGGAAUUAUUGGGCGUAAAGGGCGCGUAGGCGGUUUGCUAAGUCAGUUGUGAAAGCCCGGGGCUCAACCCCGGAGGGUCGGCUGAUACUGGUGGACUAGAGUACGGAAGAGGUAGCUGGAAUUCCCGGUGUAGCGGUGAAAUGCGUAGAUAUCGAGAGGAACACCUGCGGCGAAGGCGGGUUGCUGGGCUGAUACUGACGCUGAGGCGCGAAAGCCAGGGGAGCGAACGGG
rnacentral:rRNA from 1 species